rnacentral:ncRNA from 1 species
ACGAAGGCUUUGACGGAGCCAGUACGCGACUAGAUCCUGUCACAGAGAGCCUGAGCUUGCUGCAAAUCAGGCACAGAGGGGGUCGCCGAAGAUCACUCCUGAGCUGUCUGCCAACGAGAGCGCCCUCUCUUCACAGGGGACCCUCCAGGCCAGGCCGGUCCCUUCCCGUUAUCGUGAAGGACGUAAUCCCGCUCGCCACGCUGAGUGUCGGCCAGGGAAUACGAAAAACCGAGUGAGUCAGCACGUCUCUGUCGUACUGUCGUCUGACUAAUAAGGGUGGUACCACGGGAGGCUCCUCUCGUCCCUGGC